rnacentral:misc_RNA from 1 species
CAGUCUCCUCGAUCCUUGGAAUGGUUACCACAGUAAAUGAGCAUAUUAUAGAGACAACUCCAACUUCGGGGGUGCAUACUAGUUCUGCAGAGACUUCGUUUCUCCCUUUAUCAUUAUGCCUUACUUUGUUGAGAGACUUGGAAACAUUAAUUGAAGUAGUAGCUGAGCAGCUCUAUGGCGAAGAUAAAAAAUGGAAUUUGAUUGCUCUUACAGAGGCUGCCAAGGUGUGCGUGAGACUGGCUGUGUUCAGAACUACAGGAUAUAAACUGCUUUUGCAAGGUGGGGAGACUGAGAAUUUGGAACAUUUAGAUGAUUUGAGUCCCCCAGGAAACAUGGGGCACUUAAGGAAGCCUAUCCAAAAUCAAGGACUGGGUGUCAGUCACCCUCAGGGUUUGAACUCGUGGAAUCUUGAGGGUAGGGCAAUGUCCGCCUUAAGUAGAUUUGGUCAGAAUGCUAGGAUGGUUUCUGAGCCGACUUGGUUGCGCAGAGUUCAACAGCAGCAAGCAAUUUUGGAACCUCCAGCUAAGAUAAUCAGAAAUCCGAGUCUGUCAACCUUCUUAUCUGAGAAGGGUAUUCGUGGAGGGUUAUUUGUGACUGGGGAGACUAUGUUUGUCCUAAGACCACUUAUAUAUGUCUUGCUGGUAAGGAAGUAUGGAACACGAUCAUGGUUUCCGUGGUUCAUUUCCUUGGCUGUCGAUCUCAUAGGAAACAGCAUGCUAUCAGCCACAACAAUGUCCCAAGACAGCAGGAAAGAUCAGCAUUUUCAAUUUUCUAAAUCAGAGAAGGAUGAGGUAAAAAGAAGGAAGCUGUUGUGGGUGCUUUACCUCAUGCGAGAUCCAUUUUUCUCCAAAUACACCCGGCGAAGACUUGAAAGCACUCAAAAGACCGUAGAACCUGUUCCUGUAGUUGGAUUUUUCGCAGAAAAACUUAUUGAACUCCUCAUUGGAGCCCAGACUAGAUACACUUACAUGUCUGGUUCUUGAAGGGAAGCUACUGAAUGUGUGUUAUGCAUUCUUUGUUAUUUGACAAUGGGGAACAAACUUCUCUUUGUUUUCUUCAGUUGUAGCAUUUUGAUAUCAUGAUCUUUGAAAAGGUGUAGCAGUGCUGAAAUUUAG